rnacentral:rRNA from 1 species
UAGGGAAUCGUUCCACAAUGGACGAAAGUCUGAUGGAGCAACGCCGCGUGAGUGAAGAAGGGUUUUCGGCUCGUAAAACUCUGUUGUUAAAAGAAGAACAUAUCUGAGAGUAACUGUUCAGGUAUUGACGGUAUUUAACCAGAAAGCCACGGCUAACUACGUGCAG